UACAGAGGUCCCAAGCGUUGUUCGGAUUCACUGGGCGUAAAGGGUGCGUAGGUGGUGAGGUAAGUCGGAUGUGAAAGCUCGGAGCUCAACUCCGAAAUGGCAUUGGAAACUACCUUGCUCGAGGGAUGGAGGGGGGACUGGAAUUCUCGGUGUAGCAGUGAAAUGCGUAGAUAUCGAGAGGAACACCAGUGGCGAAGGCGGCUCUCUGGGACGGUACUGGACGCUGAGACGCGAAAGCGUGGGGAGCGAACAGG
rnacentral:rRNA from 1 species